CUAAUUAGGAUCUUGAUAGCUAAAAAUAGGGAAAGAAGAGUGGAGUUACCUUAAGAAGUCAGCUGGAAUCUUCAUAGGGGUUCCUGAAUAGAAUUUGCCAGGAACCUAAGGGUUUUUGGGGAAAAUAACUGUCACUCUUGGGGUUUGCCUAUUCUCAGGGUGGUUGGUUGGAUCUGCUCUCUGGAAAACCUUGGAAUAGCUGGUGACAGUUGGUGUUGGAGAAAACCUUGAAGAUUCGGGAAAAGUGUGGUGGAAGAAGAUCAACUGAAGGAGAGACAACCUGUUUUUCUCUAUCACUGAAGAGUGAAACAAGCCCAACUGAGGCCCAGAAGAGAGCCAGAAGCUGGAAGAGUGAGAGACUGAAUUGAUUUCUAUCUGAAGAAAAGAUCAAUAGGACUCUAAGGUGGAACUCUGAGCCAAUACCAGCAAGUACAUCCUGCCAUGUGAAUGAAGUCCAUGACCCAGCACAAGAUAUAUCAGAUGACCCCAAAGGGAAAAGAGAAGGCGUAUCAGUCAUCACCAAUUACAAGCCCAGGAUCUGAAUGAGUCUGGCAGGCUUGCCACAAUCCAGGUAAACUACACCAGCCCAUUUUAUCAAGUCAGAGCUUAACUAAAACAUCCUCCAAGAAGUAAGCGGAAACAUCAGGAAAAGUAUAAAUAAGGGAGACAAUGGUCACCAACCAACCAAUCAACAUUUGCAGUGGAGAUCUACUACAAAGACCAAGUUGAAUGGGGAUUCCUUCUAGGUGGUGAAAUCCUUCAGAUGCUCUUGUUCAUGUAGAAAAUGGUAACUGCAUGAAAUCAUAAAAAAUAACAUUUUCUUGGAAGAGAUCGAUAAUAAAUGAAAAGCUUGACCUAAUUAUCUACACAAGAAAAACCAAAUGAAUGAAUGAUGUCAGCUGUCCAGAUUAUGAUAUGACUUCAAUUGCAUAAUAAUUAAAGGGAUUGUAGAAGAUUGAAGAGGUACAGGGGAUAAGGAAGGUUUUGUAACAUGGAAUGGAGGAGUUGAAGGAAUGGAGGAGUUGAAGGGAUAGAGGGAAUAUGGAUGCUGGUGAGGUAAAAUGAAAAAGAUAUCCCUUUUUGAGAGGCUGUCUGUGAAACCUGGGGUUCCUGAGAGAUGAGGCAAUUAUGAUAGCCUGAGAAGAUGUCUUCUCUAUUGAUUGAUGUUGAAGAUAUCUCAGAGAAGGUAAGUUAAGCACUGACCCUCCUGCGGGACAAGGCACCCCCCCCCCACCAAGGUCACCUGGCAGGGGUCUGAUAAAGACCGUUUAUGCAGAACUAUUGUCCAUAGGUCCUGCUCCCUCUAUGUUUCCCUGAAAUGAUAACCCUCUUAUCUGACUGCAGGUUAUUUAACUCAAGAUGAAUUUAAUAAUAAGUUUGGAUCAGGAAGAUAUCAGGGUAGAGGGAAGAGGGGUUCCCUAUACUUUUUCCCAAAUUGGGCUUGAGUGUCUGUCAGUUUUUGAGCUGAGGCCAGGUCUUGCAGGAUGGUGGAGGGUUUCUUUUAUUCCUUUCUAUGCUAAUCUAUGCUAGCUUUCUUAAAUUCAAAGUCUUUAGCAGUAGACAGCAAGAGGAAGAAAGGUUCUGACUUUCAGAGCUGGUUGGCUGUGUCUUUUUGGGGUGAUGCCCCUAAAGACUGGUCUUACAGUUAAAACCUCUCUCCUUAAAUGCUUUUGUUCAAUGACACGAUUUCAGAAAUCCAGGUAGAGCACAGAGUUGGGAAAAAUCCAGGAAUAGAGAUACUUCUAUCCAGGGACAGGGAAAGAGCUCCUACCAGUCCAAGGGCCAGGACAGAGAGAAUAACCACUCAAGAGCAACUGUCACUCUCCCUGUCACCCCUUCUCCCACCAACUGUCAUCAUUUUCAAUACCUUCACUACAACAUUUCAACUGCUGUUGGUUCCACCUCAGUGGCAGAAAGGCCCAAAACUUUAUUCAGUUUUCCUUUCCACAAUCGGCAAUGUAUAGACUUUCUUAUCUGAGAUAGUCCAAAUGACUCUUUAGUUGAACCUAGAAUUAACAGGAGGAAGAUGAAGAGCUAUCCUGACUUUAGAAAAUUAUCAUACUUCUUCAAUGACCCCCAAAUUUUCUCAGGAUCAAUGGUUUGUCUUUUUUAAGACCAUUCUUCUGCCAGUCUUUUUCAUAUGGUUUCUAGAUAUGGAAUACAACAGUCUUUGAAGAAGGCCAGGCAGAAAAGAAUGAAAGAAAUGCACUGUGAAUGAGAACAAAUUAUUACAAAACAAAUAAAAUAUUUUCAAGAAGAAAAUACUAGGGAAAUAUAUAAUGAAAAUGACAUAUAUAGAAUAUACAUAUAUAUAUGUAUAUAUAUAUAUAGUGAGAGAGAGAAUAUAUAUAGAAUAAUACACAAUCAAAUAGCUUAAAUGACCAACUGGUAUCUUCAGGAUGUUAAGAGCAAUCAAGGAAAAGCUCUGGAACAUUCAAUAUACUACCUAGGUCUAAUUCAUGGAAGGUAGGAAGCAAUGAAUAAGCAUAAUUCAGGAUGAGCAACUAUGGAUGCAUAGUCAUCUAUGUAUAAAUGGAGAUUUUGAACCCUAGACUUCAAUCCCCGGAAGUCCUUGGUAUUUCCCAGAAUUCCCUAUAAUCUCCUGAGUCUCCAUGUUGGCAAGAUCACUUCAUUUGUAUUUAACUGGCAGCAACGCCUACCACACGUUCUUUCUUUGAAAUGAUGCAGUAAGUGUAGUGGUAAGCUAAGUGUGGGGAUUUUAAAUGGGCUAAUCAGCCAUGAGC